rnacentral:tRNA from 1 species
AAUCAUUUAGCUAAUUAAUAGCAUAUGUUUUGAAAACAUAAGAAAGAAGUUCAACCUUCUAAUGAUUU